rnacentral:rRNA from 1 species
GACGAACGCUGGCGGCGUGCUUAACACAUGCAAGUCGAACGGCCCGGCCCUGCUUUUGUGGGGUGCUCGAGUGGCGAACGGGUGAGUAACAUGUGAGUAACCUGCCCUUGACUUUGUGGUAACUUCACGGAACUGGGGCUAAUACGGGAUAGGAGCUCCUGCAGCGUGGUGGGGGUUGGAAAGUUUCGGCGGUAGGGGAUGGACUCGCGGCUUAUCAGCUUGUUGGUGGGGGAGUGGUAUGCCAAGGCUUUGACGGGUAGCCGGCCUGGGGGGGUGACCAGCCUCAUCGGGACUGAGAUACGGACCCGACCCCUACGGGAGCGAGAGGCGGCGAAGGGUGAAAAAUGGGAGGAGGCGUGAUGCAGCACCGCCGCGUGCGGGAUGACGGCGAUCGGGUUGGAAACCGAUUGCGCCUUUGACGAAGAGGAUGUGGCGGUAAUGGGUAAAGGAGCCCCGGCUAACUACGUU